UUAUUUGAAACAGGAUACAACCUCUGCCAUCGGGUAAACAAGGGUGCCCAAAACAAAGUCGGCCUAAAAGCAGCCACCUUCUAAAAAGCGUCAAAGCUUAACUAUUCUGACCCAUAAUCUCUAAAAUUCUCCCAAACCCAUCAUUACUACUGAACCCUUUUAUACCACUAUAAAAACUAUUAUGCUAGAACUAGUAACAAGAAGUCGUCCUUCUCCAUAAUGUAAACAUAAACCAAAACGGACUCCCCAUUGGUAAUUAACGUAAAUGCAAAAAUCAUAGUAACACAUAGCCAGAAAAACCUAUGACCCACCCCCACGUUACCCUGACACUAGAACAUUACAGGAAAGAUUAAAAGAGAAAGAAGGAACUCGGCAAAUUUUAGCCCCGCCUGUUUACCAAAAACAUCGCCUCUUGACUAAACAUAAGAGGUCCAGCCUGCCCAGUGACAAAAUUCAACGGCCGCGGUAUACUAACCGUGCGAAGGUAGCAUAAUCACUUGUUCUUUAAAUAGGGACUAGUAUCAACGGCAUCACGAGGGCUAUACUGUCUCCUCCCUCCAAUCAGUGAAACUGAUCUCCCCGUGAAGAAGCGGGGAUUUAACU
rnacentral:rRNA from 1 species